rnacentral:tRNA from 1 species
GAGGGUGCAGCUCAAGUGGUAGAGUGUGUGCUUAGCAUGCAUGAGGUCCUGGGUUCAAUCCCCAGUGCCUCCU